CCAAAUGCCAUGUCUUAGUACGGCGAGUGAGCGGCAACAGCUCAAAUUUGAAAGCUGGCUCCUUCGGAGUCCGCAUUGUAAUUUGUAGAGGAUGAUUCGGCGAGGGCUCCCGCCUAAGUCCACUGGAACGUGGCGUCAUAGAGGGUGAGAAUCCCGUAUGCGGUGGGUUGCCUUAGCCAUGUGAAUCUCCUUCGACGAGUCGAGUUGUUUGGGAAUGCAGCUCUAAAUGGGAGGUAAAUUUCUUCUAAAGCUAAAUACCGGCCAGAGACCGAUAGCGCACAAGUAGAGUGAUCGAAAGAUGAAAAGCACUUUGGAAAGAGAGUUAAAAAGUACGUGAAAUUGUUGAAAGGGAAGGGCUUGCAACCAGACUUGUCCGCAGUUGCUCAGCCGGUCUCCUGACCGGCGUACUCUUCUGCGGCCAGGCCAGCAUCAGUUCGGGCGGUCGGAUAAAGACCUAGGGAAUGUAGCUCCUCUCGGGGAGUGUUAUAGCCCUGGGUGGAAUGCGGCCAGCCUGGACUGAGGAUCUCGCUUCGGCUAGGAUGCUGGCGUAAUGGUUGUAAGCCGCCCGUCUUGAACCACGGACC
rnacentral:rRNA from 1 species